rnacentral:rRNA from 1 species
AGCGAACGCUGGCGGCAGGCCUAACACAUGCAAGUCGAACGAACCUUUCGGGGUUAGUGGCGGACGGGUGAGUAACACGUGGGAACGUGCCUUUAGGUUCGGAAUAACUCAGGGAAACUUGUGCUAAUACCGAAUGUGCCCUUCGGGGGAAAGAUUUAUCGCCUUUAGAGCGGCCCGCGUCUGAUUAGCUAGUUGGUUGAGGUAAUGGCCCACCAAGGCGACGAUCAGUAGCUGGUCUGAGAGGAUGAUCAGCCACAUUGGGACUGAGACACGGCCCAAACUCCUACGGGAGGCAGCAGUGGGGAAUCUUGCGCAAUGGGCGAAAGCCUGACGCAGCCAUGCCGCGUGAAUGAUGAAGGUCUUAGGAUUGUAAAAUUCUUUCACCGGGGACGAUAAUGACGGUACCCGGAGAAGAAGCCCCGGCUAACUUCGUG